UGGGCUGGUCGCAAGACCCGGGUCCACUACAAGCGGGGAUGUUCCCC
rnacentral:sRNA from 12 species